rnacentral:tRNA from 1 species
GGGCGCUUGGCACAGUGGUAGCGCGCACGCUUUGCACCGGUUCUAUCGAUUGCGUGAGGCCGUGGGUUCAAACCCCACAGCGUCCA